rnacentral:rRNA from 1 species
CUUUCCUUGACGACGACUGGCGCACGGGUGAGUAACGCGUAUCCAACCUUCCCAUGACCACGGGAUAACCCGUUGAAAGACGGCCUAAUACCGUAUGACGUCGUUUGCCGACAUCGAAAGACGACCAAAGGUUUGGCGGUGAUGGAUGGGGAUGCGUCUGAUUAGCUUGUUGGCGGGGUAACGGCCCACCAAGGCGACGAUCAGUAGGGGUUCUGAGAGGAAGGUCCCCCACAUUGGAACUGAGACACGGUCCAAACUCCUACGGGAGGCAGCAGCA